rnacentral:lncRNA from 10 species
CUCUCUCACUGGCAGCAACCCAGCGCUUCCAUUGCUGACCUCUACCGACCUCUACCUGUGGUCCUUCCUCUACUGCAGCAGAGACACUGUUUUCUUCCUUUGUUCUUCCAACCCCAUGGCACAGAAACACUCUCCACUGCGGCCAAGGAUUGCAGGAGAGGUGGCAUCAGUGAUUCAAGACUUCUUUUCCUACCUCUUCAGUGUUUCUUUCAGUGAUCUGAAGUUAAAGCCAGGGGGAAUAUCACAGAAGUGAAGUGCAAUUCUCAUCAUGUCAUAUCAAGAGCACACACUAACAAACAACAUGACUUAUUGCUGAAUAUUGAACUUGAUCACCUGGCUGAGGUAGUGUUUGCCAGAUUUCUCUGUAAAGGAUGUUCCAGGAUCAUCACAGAUAUAUUCUGCCCCAGUCUUAGAAUCAGCC